UUUUAAAAAAUUUUUGAUAGUUUUGGGGGGAACAGGUAGCAUUUGGUUGUAUGGAAAAGUUCUUUGUGGUGAUUUCUGAGAUUUUGGUGCACCUGACAUCUGAACAGUAUAUAUAUACAAUACCUAUUGUGUAGUCUUUUAUUCCUCACCCCCUCCCAUUCUUCCUCCCAAGUCCCCAAAGUUCAUUAUACCAUUCUUAAGUCUUUGCAUCCCCAUAGCUUAGCUUCCAGUUAUGAGAACAUAUAAUGUUUGGUUUUCCAUUCCUGAGUUACUUCACUUAGAAUAAUGGUCUCCAGCUCCAUCCCGGUUGCUGCAAAUGCCAUUAUUUCAUUCCUUUUUAUGUCUGAGUAGUAUAUCCCAUGGUACAUAUAUAUACUACAUGUUCUUAAUCCACUCGUUGGUUGAUGGGCAGUUGUGAAUUGUGCUGCUGUAAACAUGCAUGUGCAAGUGUCUUUUUCAUAUAAUGACUUCUUUUCC